rnacentral:rRNA from 1 species
UCCUUUGACGUUAGCGGCGGACGGGUGAGUAACACGUGGGUAACCUACCUAUAAGACUGGGAUAACUUCGGGAAACCGGAGCUAAUACCGGAUAAUAUUUCGAACCGCAUGGUUCGAUAGUGAAAGGUGGUUUUGCUAUCACUUAUAGAUGGACCCGCGCCGUAUUAGCUAGUUGGUAAGGUAACGGCUUACCAAGGCGACGAUACGUAGCCGACCUGAGAGGGUGAUCGGCCACACUGGAACUGAGACACGGUCCAGACUCCUACGGGAGGCAGCAGC